GGGCCUCCAUGGCUGCCAGUGGAGUGGUCUGUGCCUCCGUGGCUGUGGGUUGAGUGGUCUGUGCCUCCGUGGCUUCUGGUGCAGUGGUCUGUGCCUCCAUGGCUGUGGUUUGAGUGGUCUGUGCCUCCAUGGCUGCUGGUGGAGUGGUCUGUGCUUCCAUGGCUGCUGGUGCAGUGGUCUGUGCCUCCAUGGCUGCUGGUGCAGUGGUCUGUGCCUCCAGGCCUGUGGGUUGAGUGGUCUGUGCUUCCGUGGCUGCUGGUGGAGUGGUCUGUGCCUCUGUGGCUGCCAGUGGAGUGGUCUGUGCCUCCGUGGCCGUCAGUCGAGUUGUCUGUGCCUCUGUGGCUGCCAGUGGAGUGGUCUGUGCCUCCGUGGGCACUGGUUGAGUGGUCUGUGCCUCCGUGGCUGCUGGUUGAGUGGUCUGUAUCUCCAUAGCUGCUGAAUCCGUGGACAGGUUCCCCAUGUUGGCCAGCUCCGUGGUCAGCUCUGUGACU
rnacentral:lncRNA from 1 species